rnacentral:tRNA from 1 species
AUCUCCUUGAUAGGGAGAACCAUAGGGGUUCAAACCCCCUCACUUCCU